rfam:Ictidomys tridecemlineatus contig091290, whole genome shotgun sequence.
CCAAAGGCUCUUUUCAGAGCCACCCACAUUUCCUAAAAAGUGCUGG